GUUUCAGAUGCUGGAAGCUUGAAAUAAAACAAAGUGAUGGAGCACCUAGCAGAUCAGGCAGCAUCUGCAGAGAGAGAAAUGCUUCACUUGGCACAGACGCUACCUCAACUGGAAUUGCAAGUAUCAGAAGAAAAAUAAAUAUCAACAUCCAUAUUGAGAGGCAGAAGCAAGGAGAAAAAGUAGCCAGCUAUGCACUUGUCAAGACUUGAGCAAAGCACAGCAACAUUACUCUGCCUGCUUGCAAUUGGCCUCGCUUGAGAAAAU